UACGUAGGGGGCGAGCGUUGUCCGGAGUUACUGGGCGUAAAGAGUGCGUAGGCGGUUUUCUAAGUUUGGUGUGAAAUCUCCCGGCUUAACUGGGAGGGUGCGCCGAAGACUGGAAGGCUUGAGUAUGGGAGAGGUAAGCGGAAUUCCUGGUGUAGCGGUGAAAUGCGUAGAUAUCAGGAGGAACACCUGCGGUGUAGACGGCUUACUGGACCAUAACUGACGCUGAGGCACGAAAGCGUGGGGAGCAAACAGG
rnacentral:rRNA from 1 species